rnacentral:misc_RNA from 1 species
GAUGAAGAACGCAGCGAAACGCGAUAGGUAAUGUGAAUUGCAGAAUUCAGUGAAUCAUCGAGUCUUUGAACGCACAUUGCGCCCCCUGGUAUUCCGGGGGGCAUGCCUGUCCGAGCGUCAUUGCUGCCCUCAAGCACGGCUUGUGUGUUGGGCCGUCGUCCCCCUCCUAGGGGACGGGCCCGAAAGGCAGCGGCGGCACCGCGUCCGGUCCUCGAGCGUAUGGGGCUUCGUCACCCGCUCCGUAGGCCCGGCCGGCGCUUGCCGACGACCAUCAAUCUCUUUCUCCAGGUUGACCUCGGAUCAGGUAGGGAUACCCGCUGAACUUAAGCAUAUCAAUAAGCGGAGGA